CGUGAAGGAAGACGGCUUUCUGAGUUGUAAACUGCUUUCGCCCUGAAAGAAAAAAGCCAUGCGAUGGCGAAUUGCCGGUAUCCGUACUAAUAAGCACCGGCUAACUCCCUGCCAGCAGCCGGGGUAAUACCGAAGGUGGAAGCGUUGUCCGGAUUUAUUGGGUUUAAAGGGGGCGUAUGCGCAUCUUUAGGUCAAGUGAGUGAAAUCCUGUUUUUUGACUUGGAGAACUGCCCAUUGAAACUGGAGGUCUUGAGUAUACUAAAGGUAGGUGGAUUUUUUGGGGUAGCGGUGAAUUGUAUCGAUUCUAUAAAGACCUCUCAUUGCGUAGAGCAAGCUCACUGGAGUAUAACUGAGUCUUGAAGGCACUGAAGACCAGUGGUAGCGAAAAGGAUUUAUAUACCCUUGGUAGGUCCAUGCCCUAAAACGAAGAUUAUUC
rnacentral:rRNA from 1 species